GAUGAACGCUGGCGGCGUGCCUAAUACAUGCAAGUCGAGCGAAGCGGGGAAGGGUGAGUAACACGGGGAUAACAGCAUAUAAGAAUGGGAUAACUUAGGGACAACGGAGCAAAACGGGAAAAUACUAGAUGGAUCCGCGCUGCAUUAGCUGGUUGGUAGGGUAACGGCUUACCAAGGCAACGAUGCAUCGCAGACAUGAGGGGGUGAUCGGCCACACUGGAACUGAGACACGGUCCAGACUCCUACGGGAGGCAGCAGUAGUGAAUCUUCCGCAAUGGGCGAAAGCCUGACGGAGCAACGCCGCGUGAGUGAUGAAGGUCUUCGGAUCGUAAAACUCUGUUAUUAGGGAAGCGGUACCUAAUCAGAAAGCCACGGCUAACUACGUGCCAGCAGCCGCGGUAAUUC
rnacentral:rRNA from 1 species